GCAGAUUCCACUCCAAAAAUUCACCACCUCUUUCUUUAACCUUUCUGCUUCUUCAAUAAUUUCUCUUCCUUUUCUUCUCAGGCUCACAAAAAGUAUAUUCUGUUGCUAUACCAAGUGACAUGAUCAUCACAAUUGAAGGUGCAUGUUGAGCAAGAUGGAGAAGCAGGGCACGUGCAACACUAACUCUUGAACACAACACAAAGGGUGUGAACUCAGAGAAUUGUCACAUUCUUUUCUGCUAGAGAGAUCCUAUAUUUUCUGCAGCGAGUUAGUCCUUCAUGUGCCCCUCUUCCCCAUCAUGACAACAGCACCUUAUCUUGCAUUUGGAAGUGUUCAAGGAUGGGAUUUUGAUUCGCUUCUGUUCACAAUUCAGCAUCAAAUUCAAUUUUUUUUAUAUAGGCUUCUUACAGAAGGUGAGUAUAGUACUGUGUAUCUUCAUCAUCUUCAUUCAUUUUGGCCCCUUUAUUCUUCAACAUUAGCAUGCCUCAGUAGUCAGCAUGAUGAGAUUGAGAGCACUGUUUGAAAUAAGUGUAAAAACAACGGGUGCAUAUAUACUGAAAAGAUUUAGAAAAAUCACUUGAAGUUUUCUUAUGUGGUAGGAAGACGUGAUGAUUAUUAAAUUUUGUAACUGAAUCAAACUAGCAUUUAUUCAGUUGAAUAGACAUUCAAACUUUGAUGAUAUUGAGUAGCUUGUAUAUAGAUGUAGGUCUUACAAAUAUUAUUGUGUGUAUAAUGAACUACUUUAAUUGUGUCUUAAUCAAAGAGCAUGACAUCUUAAGCAUGUGUAUUAAUCAAAAUGAUGAAGGGGUUAGUGUGAGUCACAGUCUAAUUCGUAGGUCUCUCUUUCUCCCCUCCAAUCACCCAUCGCGAAAAGGAUUUUAUUUGAUGUGGAAAACUCAAUGUUGCAUAAAGAUCACCAUGCAAGACUAUCAUGAUGCAAAAAAAACUUACUUUUGGCUUCGGUUUCAGCUUGUGUCAACCGAGGUCAUUCUCAAUGAAGCACUAGUUAAUGUUAAUACCUUGCCACACCCUCAAUUUCUUAUGCUUUUAUUGUUAAAAUUGACGAAAGUGGUAUAUGACUCAGUGCCAGGUUUAUCCUCCUCAAAAGAAAAAGUUCAUCUGUUGUGCGCACUUGGGAACUAUAUAUUGACAUAGUGGCAUGCCUUUUCAUGGCAUAAACAUUGAUUACACAAGUCUCUUGGCACAAGUUGCCAUAUAAUUUUACACCGCAAGUUUAUGUUCAUAUAACUUCUUUUGAUCGUUUUGCAUGCCAUCGUCACGAUGUCAAAAAGGAAGCCUUUGAACAAGACAAAAAGAGGUAAAGAAGUUUCGAACUUUUGUAAUAUUCAUAUAGGAAGCGAAGGGGUAAGAAAAAAAAUGCAGGUAUUCCAUUCUUCACCAGUUAUUGUGUUAAUUUCUGCAAUAUGACAAAUAUGCAUGGCUAGUUUGCAGCAGCUAGCUAGGUUUAUCAAGCUAGUUUCUUCUUGCUUAUUGUGUUGGUGUGGUGCUUAAUUGUUUUCUUUGGUAUCAUCUAUGGUUCAAAUUAACUUUCAAACUUGAUAUGAAAUAGUGGUUGAUAUUGUAGCUACUGGAGAAAUCAAAGUUGUACUCAUCAGCUGUGAAUUUUCAGAAUUUUGCAUUCUCAGUGGUGGAUAUUAAAAAUCUGUCAUAAAUUCAGUCACGGAAUUAGGUAUUGCAUUUUUGCUAUGAAAUUUGUUCUGUUCCAAAACGCGGGUAGUCGCAUCUUCUCUGUUGUUGUCUCUUUUUUCACGCUCUCAGAAUAUUUCAGAAUAUUUACGUAUGGAUCAUAUGGAUCGAGGGUUAAUUUACCACGCAUUAGUGUUGAGUAUGAGAGAGGGGUAGAGGAAUUUAUACAAUUUGUGCAACGUAAUGAGGGUAGAUGAAGUGAAGUUUAGAUGUUCUUGUGUCAACUAUUUGAAUGGGAGAAAGUUGAGCGCAACACAAAUUACGAAAGAUCUUAUCUGUGAUGGUUUCCUACGAUGUUAUACAACAUGGAUAUGGCACAACGAGGAAAUACACUUUUCGACUGUCUCCCAAAUUAAAAAUGUUAUUGAUUCCACCAUGGAAGAAGAUCGACCGAAGACAAAUUAGAGGACAUGAUGCGUGAUGUUGGCGUAGAAAAUUUUGCCCAAGCUCAUGUGUACGAGACGAUGUCCAAUGAUGCGGAAACUCUUUUGUAUGUCGAUUCAACUAAGUUCACACGGUUUUCAACAGUGUUAAGGCUCAUGAAUUUGAAGGCGGCCAAUGGAUAGACUAAUAAGAGUUUCACAGAAUUGUUGACGUUGUUAAAUGAAAUGCUGUCAUAUGAAAAUACACUACCCACUCGUAAUUAUGAUGCGAAGAAAAUUUUUUAUCCUAUGGGUAUGGAGUAUAAAAGGAUACAUGAUUGUCCCAAUAUAGGAAAGAGUAUGAAUUUUUGAAAAAGUGUCAAAAAUGUGGGUUAUCACGAUACAAGUCAAAAAACAACAACAGUAUCGGGACGAUAGAAAAAAUGUGGUCAAAUAGAAAAAAAAUGGUUCUGCUAUACAUUUUAGAUGGUACCGGGACGAUGCCGGUAGCUCGUAGAAUAGUAUUUCAGGCAACGACUAACUUUCAUGGUAUGGAGCUAUCAGAGGAUGAGGUCAAGGUCUCAAUAAACGACAUUAUCAUACCAGAUGCCUCAGUUCAUCUGCCCACAGAUGAGAUUUUCACUGUGGCACACGCAUUCUAGUCUUUUAUCGCUUGGCCUAAACACUUGGUUGGUUUUGUUUCUGACCCCCAAUAUGGACUCCUACUUUACACUUCUCAAUUUUAAAGUUUACAUAUUAUUGAUGUCAAAACUUAUCCUAUUUUUCCAUGUAAAAACAUAUGCAUAUAUGGACAUGAGAAGAUUCGUUUAUCUGAGGAUGAUCCUCUUGGUGCAUUGCAACAACUUUGUGAUAUCAUUGCAAAUGAGCCUAUGAAUGUUGAAUAUGAUCCUAAUGUAUUUGGGAUAGGCUCUGAGGUCCCAAUAUACUUGCAUAGUCAAGAUGUCAAGGAGCUUGCGUCGGGAAGAGAAGAGUUGAAUAUUACAUUAAUUUAUAUAAAAUUGAUUUAUAUAUCAAGUAUACUUAUAUCAAAGGUAAUUUUUGAUUUCAGGUAUAUGUUUGGUGUAAGUAACAACUUAGGAUACAAUGAUGUUUAUAGGUUCAUUGAUCCCUAAGUCACUCACGAAGCAAAUAAUUUUGAUGACAUCCAAACAUACCUCACCAGCAACUAAGCAAGGGGGAAGGAGAUAUAUUUUAUCCCUUAUAUAUAUAUGGGUAAGUGAAGUUUGUUAACUUCAAAGUUUCAUUUGUGAUUUUAAUAUAUAACAAUUAAGUUAUUAUCAAUUUCAGGCACCUUGGUAGCUACUUAUUGUUUUCAUACUAGAGACUUAUGCUUUGUGGUUCUGCUCAUCGUACAAGUCACCUCCCAAACAUCUCAGACAAGUAGUUGAUUGCACGCAUGAUGUUGUCUAGGAGAUCAACUACUAACGGUAGAAAGCUUGCAUGGUUGACUCUCAAGUGUCAUAGACAAAGUGGGUCAUAUGAGUGUGAAUACUACGUAAUGUAUUGGCUGACACACACUAUUCGUGCCCAUAUUACAAGAGGCUGGAAAACGAGAUUCAAGACUCCUACUCCACUUCAUGAGAAGUCCCUUACAUUCCUAAGGAAGACACUUGCAAAACAUUUAAUUAGAUUAUACAAUAGUGCGUAGUUAUUAGGAUUUAAAAUACAUUAGCACAUUAGUUGAUUUAUAGUUAUUAGUUAUUAGACUUUUUUGCAUUAUGCUUUAAACAUUAUGUGAUGUAAAUAUUGAAUGUUGUUUGAAUCUGUGUUGUAAAUAUAUUGUUUGAUAUGCAGGUAUGAUUUUGUGAUAGUGAAUAUCACAAAACAAACAUGCUAUUAAAAAAGAUUCUAGGAGAAUAGACUUCGGUUGUGGCCAAAAUCGAGGUAGAA